UACUCCCGCCGGCGACCGGCGCACGGGUGAGUAACACGUAUGAAACCUGCCCGUAGCAGGGUGAUAAGCGGAAGAAAUUCCGUCUAAUACCGCGUAACAACCCGAGGAGGCAUCUCCUCGGGUUUAAAGGAAGCGAUUCCGGCUACGGAUGGUCAUGCGUCGCAUUAGCUAGUUGGCGGGGUAACGGCCCACCAAGGCGACGAUGCGUAGGGGUUCUGAGAGGGAGGUCCCCCACACUGGUACUGAGACACGGACCAGACUCCUACGGGAGGCAGCAG
rnacentral:rRNA from 1 species